rnacentral:lncRNA from 1 species
GAUCAUCUCUCCUGUCUGUGGAACUGUUAAGUAAAAUUAAUAAAGAAAAGGUUAAAAGUUGAAUUUUGCCCUUCUCCACCAGACCACAAAGAUACCUAGGAUACAGGACUGUAAACACAAAGAAAAUAAGCUCUGAAAACUGUAUAUAUUCAUAUUAGUUGUGGUGCAGAUUUUUUGCAUGGUCACAUUUAAAUCCUAUUAACUGAAAUACAAUGUAAACUCAUUUGUAUUAAUGUAUGCCAGUGUGCAGGCAUAUAAGCAUGCCAGAGAACAUGUACUGAGAGCACUGCAGCUUCUUGUCGAAUUAUCUGGCACAGACAUCAAAGAAAAAAGUCAAAGACAUUGACCCAAGACAGAUGAGAGAGUUGUUGUCGUCCCAGGAAGUGAAUCCACUGGGACUGCAGUAUCCGUCAGUCAUGGUCCUCAGUAGGUGUGUGGCUAGAGCUCAGCUCUUCUUUAGGUUGUAUAUUGGUUUGUCUGAAGGUCCAGUGUAUCUUCUAUUUGUUUGCUAGUGAACUGCGUGAAUGUUUGAUGAAAACAAGCCUGGAAACUGGGGGAAAGGAAAGGGAGUUGGGUCUAAGUGUGAAAGAUUGUUUCACACUGAGAGUGAGGUGCCACUGUGCCUAAUUUACCUGCAGGUGUAACAGGCAGAGUAAAAUUUACUUGUGCUUGCUGUUCUGUGUUUUUGUGCAGGCAGCACUGUCCUUGUGCUUUGGCCUAUUUCACCUUUACCUGUCUCCAUUCUGGGCACAACAGUGGUCUGUGGAAUACACAGGAGGAGCAUUACAGGCCAUGAUUUGUCGUUGCGGCCUGUAUCGAAGUUCUGCUGCUGAAACACAUAUACAAAGAGUUUCUUCAUGCACUUCAUGUGCACUUGUCCUGGGAGAUUGUGCAAAUGAAAAGCAGACUAUCAAAGAACAAUUAUGGCUUACGAGGAGAAAAUAAUUGUGAGUACAUAAAGCUAAAUUGGAUUAUAUUUGAAUAUAUGUAAAUUUGAUUGAACUCAAAAUUUAAUCUCUAGGAUACCAUUUCAAUUUGCAGUUGCAUGCAACAAUUUAUCCUUUUGAACGGUUGUUUAUUUGAGAAUUGCUGGUCAUUGAUUUUUUUUCUCAGGAUUUUGGUAGAUGUUCAAAUUUUUAGUAGUUUGUUAUAGACUGGACUAUUUCAUGGUUUCUUUAGCAUAGUGAGUUUUUGUCUAAACAGAGUCCUUAGCUGCAGUCUACAAAAUUAUUGGAAGCACUGUAACUGUUGUUCAUAACGAUGGUAGCCGUUUGAAUCUAUAUGACAUUUACUUCUGAAAUAAGCUGAUGUAAUG